rnacentral:rRNA from 1 species
ACGAACGCUGGCGGCGUGCUUAACACAUGCAAGUCGAACGGAAAGGCCCUGCUUUUGUGGGGUGCUCGAGUGGCGAACGGGUGAGUAACACGUGAGUAACCUGCCCUUGACUUUGGGAUAACUUCAGGAAACUGGGGCUAAUACCGGAUAGGAGCUCCUGCUGCAUGGUGGGGGUUGGAAAGUUUCGGCGGUUGGGGAUGGACUCGCGGCUUAUCAGCUUGUUGGUGGGGUAGUGGCUUACCAAGGCUUUGACGGGUAGCCGGCCUGAGAGGGUGACCGGCCACAUUGGGACUGAGAUACGGCCCAGACUCCUACGGGAAGCAGCAGUGGGGAAUAUUGCACAAUGGGCGGAAGCCUGAUGCAGCAACGCCGCGUGCGGGAUGACGGCCUUCGGGUUGUAGACCGCUUUCGCCUGUGACGAAGCGUGAGUGACGGUAAUGGGUAAAGAAGCACCGGCUAACUACGUG